CUUGAGACCGGGAGUUAGAAUGUUGAGUCUCUAGAAAAAGUAGUGUUGCCACAUUUUCAAAAUUGCUCACCUGGACAUUUUGAAAUAAGGAUGCUUAGAAAAAUAAAAAAUGGAAAAACCUAUUUGAGAAAGAACCUAUGCCUUUGAACGAUAAAGUGUUGAGCCAUGAAGAUCUUGUUCGCACCCAUGAUGCUUCAAGAGAAUCAGCUAGCUCUUGUGCCAAAAGAAAAGCAGAAGAAACAACCCAUUUCGAGAAAAAACGCAAAGGACUUUUUACUCAAGACGCUUUUCCAGAAUUACAAGGGAAAAGUGACUGUGCACAUUCGAGAGUAUCCCAAAUAUGGUAAAUCUUAUUAUCCGACAAGACGAGGAGUGAACUUUGAGCCAAGGUGUUUGAAUAUUCUCGCAACCAACAUGACAGUGGACAAACAAGACCUGCUGACACUCAAUAUGGAGUUGCUUACACAUAUGAAAUAAAAUUUAUUGUUUAGUUUGUUGCAAAUAUAUAUGUGUAGUACUUUUAUUUCAUUUACAAUUUGUUUAGAAUUUUACGCGAAUGAAAAGAAUUAUUUAACUGUAUAAGAUUUGAUGAAAGAUAAAUCAAACAACAGAAUUCUAUCACUUGCAGUCAAGAGAGUGUUUGAUGUAAUAACUCUUAUAUAUUUUUGAUAGUUUUACUUAUUUUCUUUCAUUUAUGAAUUACUACUUAGUUCUUUUCAAAACUAUUUUUCUGUGCUCUAUGUCCGGAUUUCAGUUUCACGCAAUGCGUGCUCCGUAUAGGGUAUAUUAUGCCUAAUAAGCUCAUGAUAUGAAAGAAAUCCAAAUUCUCUCCGCAUUUCUACUGUAUUUUUUAAAAUUUCAAUACCUAAGAACCUGACUAUAGAAAUCUUUUCCAUGAUUUAAUAUCUUAUACUAUAAGAUCUAUCUCUGUUAUUUUACAUAAACUAAAUUACAUCCUACAAUGAACCUGGUGAGUUCUCGCACAGGCGUGAAUUAAAUACAAACACAGAAGAAGGGUGAAAAUAACCCUUUAUUAAUUCAAACUAAUUAACAGUAAGGCACGGACUUCGUGCGUUACAAAGACACCGACCACUUGCUGUGGAAACUAAAACGUGGAAUAUAAUACAAGUCAACCUGAAAUAAAUAGCGCUGAACACUGGUAGUUCGGUCUUAUCAGAGUUAUCGGUUCAAGUCCCGGCGAAUGGGCUGGUUGCAUGGGC